UUCAGAAAAACUAUAUAUUAGCUGAGAGAACCGAGACUCUAUUUUAUUGCUUGAAACAAAGAUAUCCUGAGCUUUCUCAGACUUCCUUGGACACAUGCAAGAUUCAAUACAACCGGGAUGUAGGGAAAGCAAUAUUAGAGAGCUACUCAAGAGUGCUAGAAAGCCUAGCAUUCAACGUUGUCGCUUGGAUUGAUGAUGUUCUUUAUGCAGAUAAAUCAGUGAGGAACCAAGAUGUAUAGAAAUCCCAAAUGGGGUUAUCAGCUGCUUUCAGCAUCUCUGCUCUCAUGUUCAACAUUUUUUUUAUUUGUUUGUCACAGGCUUAGAAGAAUCAGUGCAUCAUAUAUUGAUAUUUGUAUGAGAUGCUUUCCCGUGCAAAUGUAUGCAGCUUAGUUGUUAAUUGUACUACAGAUUACUGCUUUCAUAUUGGAUUUAAUGAUUUCA